UACGUAGGGGCCAAGCGUUGUUCGGAUUUACUGGGCGUAAAGGGCGCGUAGGCGGCUUAACAAGUCACUUGUGAAAUCUCCGGGCUUAACUCGGAACGGCCAAGUGAAACUGUCAAGCUAGAGUGCAGAAGGGGCAAUCGGAAUUCUUGGUGUAGCGGUGAAAUGCGUAGAUAUCAAGAGGAACACCUGAGGUGAAGACGGGUUGCUGGGCUGACACUGACGCUGAGGCGCGAAAGCCAGGGGAGCAAACGGG
rnacentral:rRNA from 1 species